UGAUACCAGGGUCCCAAGCUCCAAAAGCCGUUCGUGCUUGCACGAUUAGGUUUUUGAGCUUGGGACCCGCAAAAACAUGAGGAUGCAGCGAUUUUCAAGGAAAAUCAGCGAAUCGCGAAAGUUGCAUAGCAACGGAGCAAUUCGUGGAUAUCA
rnacentral:sRNA from 1 species